GGUAAUGGCGUGCAAGCAGGCGGGGGAAUACGGAGGGGGCAAGCGGUAUAAUGAUUGAUUUGGGAUAAAGAGUACGGAGGCGGACCGUUAAGUCAGUGGUGAAAUCCGACAGCGUAACUGUAGAACUGCCAUUGAUACGGCUGGUGUUGAGUGUAGUUGAGGUAGCUGGAAUGAGGAGUGUAGCGUUGAAAUGCAUAGAUAUUACUCAGAACACGAAGGGCGAAGGCAGGUUACCAAGUUACAACUGACGCUGAUGGACGAAAGCGUGGGGAGCGAACAGGAUUAGAUACCCGUGUAGUC
rnacentral:rRNA from 1 species